rnacentral:rRNA from 1 species
UUCGCCCUUAGAGUUUGAUCCUGGCUCAAGAGGAACGCUGGCGGCGCGCCUAACACAUGCAAGUCGAACGGAGCUUAGAGAGCUUGCUUUUUAAGCUUAGUGGCGAACGGGUGAGUAACGCGUGAGUAACCUGCCCUAGAGUGGGGGACAACAGUUGGAAACGACUGCUAAUACCGCAUAAGCCCACGGUGCCGCAUGACACUGAGGGAAAAGGAUUUAUUCGCUUUAGGAUGGACUCGCGUCCAAUUAGCUAGUUGGUGAGGUAACGGCCCACCAAGGCGACGAUUGGUAGCCGGACUGAGAGGUUGAACGGCCACAUUGGAACUGAGACACGGCCCACACUCCUACGGGAGGCAGCAGUGGGGGAUAUUGCACAAUGGGGGAAACCCUGAUGCAGCGACGCCGCGUGGAAGAAGAAGGUUUUCGGAUUGUAAAACUCCUGUCGUUAGGGACGAUAAUGACGGUACCUAAAAAAAAAAGCCCCGGCUAACUACGUGCCAGCAGCCGCGGUAAAACGUAGGGUGCAAGCGUUGUCCGGAAUUACUGGGUGUAAAGGGAGCGCAGGCGGGAAGACAAGUUGGAAGUGAAAACCAUGGGCUCAACCCAUGAAUUGCUUUCAAAACUGUUUUUCUUGAGUAGUGCAGAGGUAGAUGGAAUUCCCGGUGUAGCGGUGGAAUGCGUAGAUAUCGGGAGGAACACCAGUGGCGAAGGCGGUCUACUGGGCACCAACUGACGCUGAGGCUCGAAAGCAUGGGUAGCAAACAGGAUUAGAUACCCUGGUAGUCCAUGCCGUAAACG